GCAGCCAUCUGUAAGCCGGGGGAGAGUCCUCACCAGAAACCAAAUCAGCUGGCACCUUUAUCUUGGACGUCCCAGUUCCAGAACUUUGAAAAAUAGAUUCCUGGUGUUUAGGCCAUCCAGCUUAAGGUAUUUUGUUAUGGCAGGUCAAGCUAACACACCUAGGGUCCCUUGAAGUUCAAUAAGGUCACUGGCCAUCACCGCCCGCACUGGAAGGCCCGGUCACUUCCAGUUGUCUCCACAGCAGUGUAGGUAAGCUGGACCUCUGCCCUAGUGCUUCUCAGUGAGAAUGGCACGACCCCCAGAGGGUGUUUUAGAAUUAGAAGGGCACAGUUUGGUUGUCACAAUAACUGAAGGUGGGUUAGUGGCUUUUAGUGGGCAGUGCCAGGAACUCUAGACAUCCUGAAAAGCAAGUGACAUAUCUUACUCAUCAAGAAAAAUGACCUAUAUACUAAUCACUAUAUAUAAAAUAGAUAACAAGGUCCCACUACAUAGCACAGGUGUUAAGCUAUAGUGAAUACCUUGUAAUGGCCUACGAUGGAAAAGAAUAUGUAUAAAUGAGUCAUUGUGCUGUAUGCCAGAGAUUAACACAACAUUGUAAGCUGACUAUACUUCAAUUAAAAAAAAAAUGACCCACAUGAGUCAAACAUCCAAAAAUAUUCUACCAGGCAUUGAGGGUUUCUCCCCUGUUUAUAAUUAUCUGAGCCUGGAUCCUGAUUUAUAUAUAAGCACAGAAUGUCUCGGCAAGGUUUUAACACAUACUGAAUUUUCCAGGAAUGCAGCCGCCAUGUCCACUAAAGGGUAAAUUAUUGGGGUUUUUUGUGUGUGUUUGGAACACCACCCUCUGUGGCUCACCAUUUCAGAAAAUCAUAUCACUUACAGCUAAGCCACUGAGAUAUGACAUUCUCCCGCCCUCUGUCCCUGCAUCAGCUGGCACAUGUGACCGCUGUGCUCAGAGGCUCUACAUGUGUCAUUCCUGACUUUCUAUUCUGUCUUCUGGCAUAGUUGGGCCUUCCUGCUUUAUUACACAUUGAUUUCCAUUCCUUUUUUCCCUUUAUACUAUACUUGGGACAUUAGGUUAAUUAUUUUUGCAAAUAAUGUAUGUAUGUGAUAUUACCUAUGAUUUUCAUUGCAAGAUAGAGAAGGGAUAUUUCAAGAUAUUUCUUAUUAAAAGGGGAAACUGACAGUGUUGAGACCCACUCUCUUCUCCCACCAAACAGAGCACAACCUCCUGUCUACACAACAUGGAUUUUCAGGUAAGAAGAAGGAGGGGUCCUUACACAGAGUCAUCUCAGCUGAGGGUGUCCCAUGUCAAAUGUGACUUGGGCUCCCAUCUGCCGUCUCUUUAGAUUCACCCGCCCAAGCCAUCUGCUCAAGGCCAAGACCCUUUGCGUCUCCAACAAGGCAACAUCCGCACCACUGCUCACACCCAACACGUCUCUCUAUCCUGAGUGCUUUCACAGAGGCCUCUUUAUCCUCCUAGGGUACUAGAUCGCCAGCCCACCCUGGAGGUUUCUGUAACUUUCAAUUCCUAGGAAACAGGUUGACAUUUUGGUCCCUUCCUUCCUCGGAGGGUCACCAGAGUCCUUACGCAAAGGUACUUACCCCAACCCUUUCCUUCAUACGUCAAGUGCUGUGAGAGAGAGUCAGGGCGAGAACUGUCUUUCCCCAGUUAGAAAAAGUGAGGCAGAGAAGGAGUUAAGGAGCUGACUCAAGGACACAGAGCUGGUGAACAGCAGAGCCUAGACUCCAACCCCAGUUUUUGAAUCCAAAUGCCAGCACGGUCUACCCUUACGUUGGCAUAAGUUAACAGAAUUUCUAAUGACUGCACUUGGCCUCAUCAAAACUAUAAGGGGACUAUGAUUUUUUCUUUUCUUUCUUCAAGGAAUCUUCUCGAAGACUCCAGGUUUUACUGAGGUGAGCCGGUUUGGUGUGGACAUGAUAACACAAGUACUUCUUGGUGCCUCUAGUUUUGUUCAGUCAUUUGAUUUUUGCCUUGCUCAAAAAAAAAAAAAAAAA